UGUGCUCGCCUGACACAUCUGACACACUGCCGUGGGCACCUGGCUGAGGGUGGCAGAGGCACUCGGCUAACCCAAAGUGACACAUGCCUGGUAGGAUGUUCAGUCUCUACAGC
rfam:Otolemur garnettii contig069599, whole genome shotgun sequence.